UACAGAGGGUGCGAGCGUUGUCCGGAAUCACUGGGCGUAAAGGGCGCGUAGGUGGCGACCCAAGUCUGUGGUGAAAGCUCGCCGCUUAACGGCGAGUCGGCCACGGAUACUGGGUGGCUCGAGCACUGUAGGGGCAGAUGGAAUUCCGGGUGUAGCGGUGGAAUGCGUAGAGAUCCGGAAGAACACCGGUGGCGAAGGCGGUCUGCUGGGCAGUUGCUGACACUGAGGCGCGACAGCGUGGGGAGCAAACAGG
rnacentral:rRNA from 1 species